rnacentral:misc_RNA from 1 species
CAGAGACGAACGUGAUGCAAAAAUUCGCGCAGUGUUGCGCGCGGUUGAUAUUGAUAUUAGUGUUUUGUGGUUCAAGCAAAAGUACUUCUGUAGAGAAAAUUAUUUCACAAUAUAGUCACUUCACUUCCUUUAUCAGGGUGAUGUUUGACAUCAAGAUAUAGCAAUCAAAUUUCGGAUGAUCACUUUUCUUUUCUACACCCCCUCGUUGAACUACUAGCGCCCCCUAUGGCUGGCCUGGACGACUACAAGUUCUACAUGGCAGCACGCGGGGAAGACUCUCCGUUCUGGGAGCGUCGUCUGCCGGAGCGUCGGGCGGGGGGCAGUGCUCGCCCAACGUCCCUCCCCCUGCCCGAGCAGACGACCGAGCCGGCCACCUCCCCCAACACCCAGUACCUGGUGGUGGCCACGAACGCGGCCGGACUGAUUGUGGAGCACGUUCUGACGCACCCGUUUGUGGUGCUGCGCCGGCAGUGUCAGGUGAAUGCCACUGCCCGUCGCUACCACCUGACGCCGGUCACUCUAGCGCCGGUGUUGUUCAACCUACACCGCCAUCAGGGACUGGGGGUUCUCUGGAAGGGACUGGGGAGUGCGGUGAUCGUGAAGGGCCUCCGACUGGCCGCUGAGGAUCUGGUGAGCAAGGUGGCACCCUGGCCGCGGGAGCUGGCCCGCGGCAGCUCUGCGCGCCAGGCCGGCCGCCACCUACUGCUGAAGACGGCCGGCCUGAUCGCCGCGGCUCCGUUCUCGGCAGCGAGUCUGACAGAGUCGGUACAGUCGGAGGUGGCCAGCGAGCGGCCGGGCGUGCUGGACGUGUUCACAGAGGGAGCGUUCCGCGCCGUGGCCGGUCUGACGCCGUACAGCGGCGGGCGUCUGCUGCCAGUGUGGACCCUGGUCGUACCGGCUGCUCUGCACGGUAUCCUGCACUACAUCCUGAGCGCUAUCGGCGCCGAGGUCGCCUCUGCUGUGCUCCGCAUCCUACGUGACCGAGCCGAGCGGCGACGCGGGGCGGUGCCGCGCGCGCGUCAGCCCCUGGACAGGUGCCACCAGCAGCUGGCCGUGGCGGCGGUGGGUCGCUACUCGGCCGACCUGCUGCUCUACCCGCUGGAGACGGUGCUGCACCGGCUGCAGCUGCAGGGCACGCGCUCCAUCGUGGACAACCUGGACACAGGGUCCUCGGUGCUGCCCGUCAGCACGCGCUACGAGGGUGCCCUCGACUGCUUCUUCACCAUCCUAGAAGACGAGGGCGUGUCGGGUCUGUACAAGGGAAUCGGUACACUGGCGGCUCAGGCGGCUACGCACGCUGCGGCGCUGUACGCGGCUCGCUGGAUAAUCGGCCAGGUGGCGCUGCUGGCUGCCGAUCAGCCGCCGCCCUCAGGAGCCGCCUCUAGGGACAACCUGACGCAGAUGCUGGAAACACCCGUGUCAGGGAUCCCCGGCGCAGGAGAGCCCGACGACUCCGAGCUCGACGGUCGGUGGAGGGAGGUGCGCACUCCUCUGACGCCGGCGGCUGAUAGGUAUGAUCGGUAUGCCGCCGAGUUCGAUCGGUACGCGGGAUUCGAUAGGUACCGAGACCAGUUUUGAGAGGGUUAGCUAUAGGAAGUCAGAGAAAUAUGUCUGGGCCACGUUGAUGGCAGGCCAGUACCUAUUGAGCAGCGAGGAAUGCGUGAACGAAAGAUUUAGGAUAUGCGUGGCCUGUAAUGAGCCGUUGGUGCAAUUAAAAGCACUUGGUAUCAGUCUGCGUGAUUAGUCAUUUCAUUUGUGAGGUUGAGCUUGAUUGUGGCUGCUUUUGUCAGCUAGUUCGCAAUGUGUAUAGCUGAUUUAUUUCUGGGUCGCUGCGGCUAUGUCACUGACAACAGUUAUUAUUGUAGUCAGGCAGUAAAAAAUAUCCAGCUCCAAGCAUUUGUUAUGCUUCAAACCAGUAUCAUGGUCAGCGAACUUGUUUGAGAAGUUGUAAGCCGACUUUGCUGCUCGUGACGAGCUUGGUUGAGAACGAUUUGUGAUAGUGGUGAAGUCACGCAGGGCGAGCGUGUGUUAUGCAUGAAGGCGCUGUUUUUGUUGCAUUUGCCCAUUUGAAUGCCAGAUUUGUGUUAUGUCAGUUAAUUGACAGAUUUAACUGGCUUUUACUGACGCUUGAAGACGAGUAAUGUGGAUGCCAGGAAUUUGGCUCGUUCAGUCGGCGAAUUGAGCCUCGGUUUCGCCCACUCAUUUGGCGAACACCUGAAACCCGUCGAAUCGGUGGAGGCGCAUUGUGCCAUGUUGCCGACUGAGUGCGGCCCAUCCCUGCUCGAUACCACCGGUGGCCCAUUAGGUCUACCGAUAGAGAUUAGGCCUCGUGGCGAGCAGACACCGUGUCGUCUUUGUGAGGGCCUGUAACCAUACAUCCCGUGUAUGAUUGAGAUCCAACGGGUCGCCUGUGGCCUGCCCUACCAGUCAUUUAUGCCAUUGAAUGGCUGUUUGAUCUGUGCAGUUGGCGCCCCAAGAUGCAAUAAAUAAAUCGGACGAUGUGCU